CAGUUCGGAUUGUAGUCUGCAACCCGACUACAUGAAGCUGGAAUCGCUAGUAAUCGCGAAUCAGAAUGUCGCGGUGAAUACGUUCCCGGGUCUUGUACACACCGCCCGUCACACCAUGGGAGUCGGAAAUGCCCGAAGUCAGUGACCUAACCGAAAGGGAGGAGCUGCCGAAGGUGGAGCCGGUAACUGGGGUGAAGUCGUAACAAGGUACC
rnacentral:rRNA from 1 species